rnacentral:rRNA from 1 species
AAUCCAUAGGUUAAUGAGGCGAACCGGGGGAACUGAAACAUCUAAGUACCCCGAGGAAAAGAAAUCAACCGAGAUUCCCCCAGUAGCGGCGAGCGAACGGGGAGGAGCCCAGAGCCUGAAUCAGCAUGUGUGUUAGUGGAAGCGUCUGGAAAGGCGCGCGAUACAGGGUGACAGCCCCGUACACAAAAGCGCAUGUGUUGUGAGCUCGAUGAGUAGGGCGGGACACGUGGUAUCCUGUCUGAAUAUGGGGGGACCAUCCUCCAAGGCUAAAUACUCCUGACUGACCGAUAGUGAACCAGUACCGUGAGGGAAAGGCGAAAAGAACCCCGGCGAGGGGAGUGAAAAAGAACCUGAAACCGUGUACGUACAAGCAGUGGGAGCACAGGUUUACCUGUGUGACUGCGUACCUUUUGUAUAAUGGGUCAGCGACUUAUAUUCUGUAGCAAGGUUAACCGAAUAGGGGAGCCGGAGGGAAACCGAGUCUUAACCGGGCGUUAAGUUGCAGGGUAUAGACCCGAAACCCGGUGAUCUAGCCAUGGGCAGGUUGAAGGUUGGGUAACACUAACUGGAGGACCGAACCGACUAAUGUUGAAAAAUUAGCGGAUGACCUGUGGCUGGGGGUGAAAGGCCAAUCAAACCGGGAGAUAGCUGGUUCUCCCCGAAAGCUAUUUAGGUAGCGCCUCGUGAACUCAUCUCCGGGGGUAGAGCACUGUUUCGGCUAGGGGGCCAUCCCGGCUUACCAACCCGAUGCAAACUGCGAAUACCGGAGAAUGUUAUCACGGGAGACACACGGCGGGUGCUAACGUCCGUCGUGAAGAGGGAAACAACCCAGACCGCCAGCUAAGGUCCCAAAGUCAUGGUUAAGUGGGAAACGAUGUGGGAAGGCCCAGACAGCCAGGAUGUUGGCUUAGAAGCAGCCAUCAUUUAAAGAAAGCGUAAUAGCUCACUGGUCGAGUCGGCCUGCGCGGAAGAUGUAACGGGGCUAAACCAUGCACCGAAGCUGCGGCAGCGAACGUAUCACCCAAGACAACUUUGCGGAGUUGACGAUUGACGGAGCGAAGCGACGUCAAAGCGUUCAUUAAAGUCGAGUUGGCUUAGGGAUACGUUCGUUGGGUAGGGGAGCGUUCUGUAAGCCAGUGAAGGUGUGUCGUGAGGCAUGCUGGAGGUAUCAGAAGUGCGAAUGCUGACAUAAGUAACGAUAAAGCGGGUGAAAAGCCCGCUCGCCGGAAGACCAAGGGUUCCUGUCCAACGUUAAUCGGGGCAGGGUGAGUCGACCCCUAAGGCGAGGCCGAAAGGCGUAGUCGAUGGGAAACGGGUUAAUAUUCCCGUACUUGGUGUUACUGCGAAGGGGGGACGGAGAAGGCUAUGUUGGCCGGGCGACGGUUGUCCCGGUUUAAGCGUGUAGGUGUGUGUUCCAGGUAAAUCCGGUU